GAUGAACGCUGGCGGCGUGCCUAAUACAUGCAAGUCGAGCGAACAGACGAGGAGCUUGCUCCUCUGACGUUAGCGGCGGACGGGUGAGUAACACGUGGAUAACCUACCUAUAAGACUGGGAUAACUUCGGGAAACCGGAGCUAAUACCGGAUAAUAUAUUGAACCGCAUGGUUCAAUAGUGAAAGACGGUUUUGCUGUCACUUAUAGAUGGAUCCGCGCCGCAUUAGCUAGUUGGUAAGGUAACGGCUUACCAAGGCAACGAUGCGUAGCCGACCUAAGAGGGUGAUCGGCCACACUGGAACUGAGACACGGUCCAGACUCCUACAGGAGGCAGCAGUAGGGAAUCUUCCGCAAUGGGCGAAAGCCUGACGGAGCAACGCCGCGUGAGUGAUGAAGGUCUUCGGAUCGUAAAACUCUGUUAUUAGGGAAGAACAAAUGUGUAAGUAACUAUGCACGUCUUGACGGUACCUAAUCAGAAAGCCACGGCUAACUACGUG
rnacentral:rRNA from 1 species